CAAGAACACAUGGAAGAGGCACAUCAGAUUGUUCAGAGACAUGUCUCUGGUCAAAUGUUAAGGCAAAAGAAAAACCAUGACAUAAAUGUCAGUCUGAUGUAUGUGCUAAUUGUGGUGAACUUAACAAUAAAACAUCCUCGUGUAGAUUUGGAAAGAAAAUCAAAUGUUAUAAUUGUAAAAUGUAACAUGUAUGGCCACAAACUGAAAUUUUGUACAGCAUGAAAAAAUGGCAAAGAAGAGAAUGCCAAUGUAACCACUGUUUCAAACAGAUUUAACACACUUUCAACAUUAUGCUCUGAAUGCAAUUUAUUAUCUGUAUAUGUAAGUCCACGUUUUCUAUUUCACAAGAGUAUGGAAUUUCUAAAAGAAACAAAAAGGGG
rnacentral:lncRNA from 1 species